rnacentral:misc_RNA from 1 species
GAAAUGCGAUAAGUAGUGUGAAUUGCAGAAUUCAGUGAAUCAUCGAAUCUUUGAACGCACAUUGCGCCCCUUGGUAUUCCAUGGGGCAUGCCUGUUCGAGCGUCAUCUACACCCUCAAGCUCUGCUUGGUGUUGGGCGUCUGUUCCGCCUCCGCGCGGGACUCGCCCCAAAGGCAUUGGCAGCGGUCUCUUGCACCUCUCGCGCAGCACAUUGCGCUUCUCGAGGCGAGGCAGGCCGCGACCACGAAGCCACACAUCGUCUUUGACCUCGGAUCAGGUAGGGAUACCCGCUGAACUUAA